UACGUAGGGUGCAAGCGUUGUCCGGAAUUAUUGGGCGUAAAGAGCGUGUAGGCGGCCCGGUAAGUCCGCUGUGAAAGUCGGGGGCUCAACCCUCGAAUGCCGGUGGAUACUGUCGGGCUAGAGUGCGGAAGAGGCGAGUGGAAUUCCUGGUGUAGCGGUGAAAUGCGCAGAUAUCAGGAGGAACACCAAUUGCGAAGGCAGCUCGCUGGGACGUAACUGACGCUGGAGACGCGAAAGCGUGGGGAGCAAACAGG
rnacentral:rRNA from 1 species